rnacentral:lncRNA from 1 species
CCUUAAAUAGCCGCGUAUUCAAACUAGCCGAUCAUACGCUCCUUGCCUUCGUCACAUCCGUUCCAUCCAAGCAGUGUGGAAGAGGAAGUGAGAUUUGGCAGAUUACUGGUUCCGGUUCAAUCUUCUGAACCAACCGCGAAACCUUCGCCAAUCGAUGAUAUCCGUAAUGGAUUGUCUUCUUAUUCUCGCAGUCGGGGCAUCUCUGCCGGUUGAGGGCACCGGCCUUCCUCCGGUGGAGCUCUGCCUUGUUCUGACACCAACAACAAGCACUGAUUACCUGCGUUGCGUUUGCGUGACGCAUCCACAGAUCCGACAGAGUUUGGAUUCCGCACAAGGGUUCUUCAACCCUUAAAUAGCCGCGUAUUCAAACUAGCCGAUCAUACGCUCCUUGCCUUCGUCACAUCCGUUCCAUCCAAGCAGUGUGGAAGAGGAAGUGAGAUUUGGCAGAUUACUGGUUCCGGUUCAAUCUUCUGAACCAACCGCGAAACCUUCGCCAAUCGAUGAUAUCCGUAAUGGAUUGUCUUCUUAUUCUCGCAGUCGGGGCAUCUCUGCCGGUUGAGGGCACCGGCCUUCCUCCGGUGGAGCUCUGCCUUGUUCUGACACCAACAAGCACUGAUUACCUGCGUUGCGUUUGCGUGACGCAUCCACAGAUCCAACAGAGUUUGGAUUCCGCACAAGGGUUCUUCAACCCUUAAAUAGCCGCGUAUUCAAACUAGCCGAUCAUACGCUCCUUGCCUUCGUCACAUCCGUUCCAUCCAAGCAGUGUGGAAGAAGAAGUGAGAUUUGGCAGAUUACUGGUUCCGGUUCAAUCUUCUGAACCAACCGCGAAACCUUCGCCAAUCGAUGAUAUCCGUAAUGGAUUGUCUUCUUAUUCUCGCAGUCGGGGCAUCUCUGCCGGUUGAGGG